UUUACACUAAUCAAUUUUACCACUAAAAUAUUAAUAGGUAAAAGACUAUUCUACCCUAACUUUUCUCAGCGUGAUUGUACACGGCUAACACCGACAAGCUCUAGAGAAAGAGGAAGAUCUCCGACGAAGAAGAACGAAGAGCUCCGACGAAAAACGAAGAGCUCCGACGAAAAACGAAGAGAUCCGGUGAAGGAUGACGAGCUCUGACGACAGACUUCCGAUCUGUGUCUGGAGAUCUUAAAUUGGCCAGAUCUGAAGCUUCCUCAACUUGUGGUAUCUUCUUCGUCUUUGACGAUGACUCUUCCCCGUGUAGAGCGACUGUGGCUUUCACACCGACCUUUCUUGUUCUUUUUUCGCCAGAGGGCGUGUACAAUGGGAUGAAGCUAAUAUAGUGGAAAUUGAAUCUAACAAGCGUUUUAGGCAGAAGAUCACUGAACCUAUGAUUGAUGAUGAUGGUUUCUCUACUUCUCAUUUCUUCCCUUUCUCUUUGCAUCUAUAUAUGUGCAUAACUUCUGUACUAUCAUACACUUUUGAGUAUACAUAUGCUUAUACCAAAUUAUACACUUGGUAUCAUCUAAACCUAAUCAAAACUAAAGCGUGUGCAAGUAAAAAUUAUAUGAAACUCAUCUAAGAAGCUAACAAUUGCUACUCUUUUCUGGGGGAAUCUUGUGCUUGCUUUAGUUGGUUAAUUUGAAAAUCUGUCAUUCUAGAUGUAGAAUCCUAGAGAUGGUUCUGAUAAAUUUUUAAUCCAGGAAACACAAUUUAUAAUAUGCCUUCUCUUUGUGGGUGUUUCUUGAUUGAUUGUGUCAGGGUAUGUGCAGGACUGGGUAUGUGUCUCCUAGAAGAAGAUGACGAAUGCCUCUACGAUAUGCAACGUGCCGCAGAACUGAGAAUUGUUCUCAAAGAGGCAGAGGCUGCCUUGUCUAGUAGACAUACUAACCUGGGGUCUGGUUCUGGUGGCUGGAGCUCGUCUGAGGAGGAGGAUGAAGUAGAUCCAAUGGAUCAAGAUGAUGAAGACACAGAUGGGGAUGGUGAGAAAAACACACGUUUCAACGAACAUAGAUGAGUACAUUACGAUGAGUUUCGGAAGGUGAAGGAACUGAGGUCAUCAGGGUGAUAGUGUCGUUCUAUAAAGAAGAAGAGGAAGAAGAUGAUGGCGCGAAAGGCAGAAAAUCAGAGGCAACAACCUCACGUCACACUACCAAAGGCGUUAACAAAGAGAUAAAUGCAACCACGAGAGUUUCAUCCUCGAGUUGAUAUCAACCUCUGCUAAAUCAAAUAGUGUACUCUCCUCUAUGUUUAACAGAGUUACCUCUCGGUUAAUCAAAUCAGUUUAUAAUCGCUUAGAAAUUAAUUUUAUAAACCUUUAUAAAUAGUUAUAUAAAUAGGUUUAUAAACUUUAUAGAUGGUUGA